AAAUUGAAGAGUUUGAUCAUGGCUCAGAUUGAACGCUGGCGGCAGGCCUAACACAUGCAAGUCGAACGGUAGCACAGAGAGCUUGCUCUCGGGUGACGAGUGGCGGACGGGUGAGUAAUGUCUGGGAAACUGCCUGAUGGAGGGGGAUAACUACUGGAAACGGUGGCUAAUACCGCAUAACGUCGCAAGACCAAAGAGGGGGACCUUCGGGCCUCUUGCCAUCAGAUGUGCCCAGAUGGGAUUAGCUGGUUGGUGAGGUAACGGCUCACCAAGGCGACGAUCCCUAGCUGGUCUGAGAGGAUGACCAGCCACACUGGAACUGAGACACGGUCCAGACUCCUACGGGAGGCAGCAGUGGGGAAUAUUGCACAAUGGGCGCAAGCCUGAUGCAGCCAU
rnacentral:rRNA from 1 species